rnacentral:rRNA from 1 species
AAACGAUUGAAGCCAGUCGUACUGACGGGUAAUCAACCUUUCGGGUGCGAUUCUGUGGGUUUUGAGGAGCUUCACGGCCCUCAUGGUCUGCAUAUUUGUGCCAUUUGGGUGUACUUACCUGGCAGUAGGUUAACAUCAAUUUUGAUCGUCAUAAAAUGAUGGGAGGAAUGUAGCUUCGACCUCGGUUGAAGUGUUAUAGCCUCUGGUAGAUGUGAUGAUCGGGAUUGAGGAUUGCAACGAAUACCUUUUAGGCUACCCGCCUGAUCUCUGAUGGUUGCUAUGGUGCCGAAAGCUUGCUUACGGUUAUCAGAGUUGAUUGUUAAAAGGUUAGAACGGGUUAAAUUCGUUAAGGAUGUUGACGUAAUGGCUUUAAACGA